ACGAAACUUACAGAAAAUCUUCAAUCAUAUUAUAAUAAAUAUUCUAAUAAUAUUCACACAAAAUAAUUUCAGAAGAUAUUUCAUAUUUCUUAAUCAAAAGUAGAUUGAAGGAUGUGUGUGUCUUCAUUUCCGUUUCGAAGUACGUUGACAAGAGAAAUACCAAGUUAACUUCAUAUUCCCGGUGAACUGUAGAAUUAAUAUCGCCUCAUUAAAUCGAUUGUCAUCAUAUUUACGUUGGUCAUGACGUCACUAGAAUUUUGUUAUAUUUACUUGUUAGUUUUAGAAAUAAAGUACAUCAACACAUGAUCUGCCUUUUGGUCACAACCCUUGAGUCCUUAAAAAUCCACUAUCUUAGAACCCAAGGUAACGUUGUGACUAAGAUGCAUAGAAUACCGGGUGUGUUUACUAAUUCGAUUUUGUUUCAGACUUUUUGAGAGACCCACCUGUUGCGUUGGUGUUCUGCUUCACCAGAGUUCUGUUAGGGGGCGCUGUUCAAAAAUGUUCGAAUUGCCGCUGUCAGAUGAAAUUACAAUCAGUAUUUUCAAACUUAGCUUCUUUGAAAUUGAAAUUUUUUUCUUUUCUAUAUAAUUAAUCAUUCAUUGUUCGUAGUUUCAUUAUAGUUUUGUUCUUCAGUUCUUGUUAUUUUAGGUUAGUUUAUUCCAGUAGUUAGUUCGUAAGAAAUAGUUUUAAAUAGUGUAUAUAUAUAUAGGAUAAUUUUCGUGAAAUAUGGCGAUUUUGUAUGAGCAGUGCAAAGAUGGAGAUUCAUGUUUAUUCAGUUCCGAAGGUAAAUACAAAUUAUCCUGUAGUAUAUCCAACGGAGGCGAUCCAUAACUUACAGUGGAGGUGAUAUUGGGUAGGUGAAAAAACUUUCAGUCAAACUCCACCAAAUACUUUUAGCGGGAAUUAAUUCUUGUAAACAGAGAAAUGUAUCUGGGGGUCAGACCUCUUCUCAAACAUUCAUUAUUGAACCAUAUAUCUAACAUAACCAUUUUUCUCUUCAACAGGUUCUUCUUUUGACCUCGGAUCAGUGCAACCCGACUAGCAUAGUUUAUCCAACGGAGGCGAUCCAUAACUUACAGUGGAGGUGAUAUUGGGAUGAGAACAGGCGGAAGCAAUGGAUAGAUUCUGUGGGGAAAUAUCUACCUGUGGGUGCAUUUAUUUGCUCAAAGCAUUUUCCCAUUCAGUCCAUUGGUGCUCUGUAAUUUUUGAAGGGUUCCAAACCAUCAUUCAUAUCCCUGGUCGCUUUCAAUCUGGCUGACACUACACGUAUAAGAUACGAUGGUACGACGAAACCUUGUUACAAUUACAAGGUGUUGACGAUGAUGAAGGAGAAUUACGGCUUCAAGUGCCAUCGUGAAUUCAGUUAUUUGCUGAAGACGCGCCCACCGUUUGGCGACGAGUCGAUGCCUUCGUCCGAGAUAAACGUACGUUGGCGAACGACAUCGUCGAAAGCUGUGAGGAAGCGAUGCACCGGAAUUAUAAUCCGGAUUUUAAAUUUUACACGGUAUGUUUUAUGGAUUAUUUGCUACCAUAGUCCAGUAACGGUCUGCAUAUCAUCUUGUAAAUUGAACUGGCUGUUUUGAUGUUGAUUCCUAAGUUCUUGUACGUGAGUGAUCUGAAGUGUCCGGCUCGUGUGAUGGCUGCAUUUUUCUGUACCUUCAUAUGGCGUUUGAAAUUGAGUUUGUUUCUAAUAAUUGUAUAUUUCAUUUUCUUAUAAUUGUAUAUUUCAUUUUCUAAUAAUUGUAUAUUUCAUUUUCUAAUAAUUGUACAUUUCAUUUUCUAAUAAUUGUACAUUUCAUUUUCUAAUAAUUAUAUAUUUUAUUUAAUUUCCAUUUAAUAAUUAAUUUGUAUUUUCGAUUCUUUCUCAAUCUAUUUUGUUUCAAUAAAGUCUAUUCACAUAAUAACAAAAACCCAA